GAGUGACCGCUGGCGGUAGGCCUAACACAUGCAAGUCGAACGGCAGCACAGUAAGAGCUUGCUCUUACGGGUGGCGAGUGGCGGACGGGUGUGGAAUACAUCGGAAUCUACUUUUUCGUGGGGGAUAACGUAGGGAAACUUACGCUAAUACCGCAUACGACCUACGGGUGAAAGCAGGGGAUCUUCGGUCCUUGCGCGAUUGAAUGAGCCGAUGUCGGAUUAGCUAGUUGGCGGGGUAAAGGCCCACCAAGGCGACGAGCCGUAGCUGGUCUGAGAGGAUGAUCAGGCACACUGGAACUGAGACACGGUCCAGACUCCUACGGGAGGCAGCAGUGGGGAAUAUUGGACAAUGGGCGCAAGCCUGAUCCAGCCAUACCGCGUGGGUGAAGAAGGCCUUCGGGUUGUAAAGCCCUUUUGUUGGGAAAGAAGAGCAGCAGGUUAAUACCCCGCUGUUCUGACGGUACCCAAAGAAUAAGCACCGGCUAACUUCGUG
rnacentral:rRNA from 1 species